UCGGUAACACCCGAACGCCUGUAGUCUAACCGCAAGGAGGACGCAGUCGAAGGUGGGAUUGAUGACUGGGGUGAAGUCGUAACAAGGUACC
rnacentral:rRNA from 1 species